rnacentral:rRNA from 1 species
UACGUAGGGUGCAAGCGUUAAUCGGAAUUACUGGGCGUAAAGCGUGCGCAGGCGGUUGUGCAAGACAGAUGUGAAAUCCCCGGGCUUAACCUGGGAACUGCAUUUGUGACUGCACGGCUAGAGUGUGUCAGAGGGGGGUAGAAUUCCACGUGUGAGCAGUGAAAUGCAUAGAUAUGUGGAGGAAUACCGAUGGCGAAGGCAGCCCCCUGGGAUAACACUGACGCCUCAUGCACGAAAGCGUGGGGAGCAAACAGG